AACGAACGCUGGCGGCAUGCCUAACACAUGCAAGUCGAACGAGACCUUCGGGUCUAGUGGCGCACGGGUGCGUAACGCGUGGGAAUCUGCCCUUGGGUUCGGAAUAACAGUGAGAAAUUACUGCUAAUACCGGAUGAUGUCUUCGGACCAAAGAUUUAUCGCCCAGGGAUGAGCCCGCGUAGGAUUAGCUAGUUGGUGGGGUAAUGGCCUACCAAGGCGACGAUCCUUAGCUGGUCUGAGAGGAUGAUCAGCCACACUGGGACUGAGACACGGCCCAGACUACUACGGGAGGCAGCAGUGGGGAAUAUUGGACAAUGGGCGCAAGCCUGAUCCAGCAAUGCCGCGUGAGUGAUGAAGGCCUUAGGGUUGUAAAGCUCUUUUAACCGGGAUGAUAAUGACAGUACCGGGAGAAUAAGCUCCGGCUAACUCCGUG
rnacentral:rRNA from 1 species